rnacentral:rRNA from 1 species
GAUGAACGCUGGCGGCGUGCUUAACACAUGCAAGUCGAACGAGAAAUGGAGACGGACACCUUCGGGCGGAAGGCUUCAUUUCGAGUGGCGGACGGGUGAGUAACGCGUGGGUAACCUGCCUCAUACAGGGGGAUAACAGUUGGAAACGACUGUUAAUACCGCAUAAGACCACAGCACCGCAUGGUGCGGGGGUAAAAACUCCGGUGGUAUGAGAUGGACCCGCGUUCGAUUAGCCAGUUGGCGGGGUAACGGCCCACCAAAGCGACGAUCGAUAGCCGAUCUGAGAGGAUGACCGGCCACAUUGGGACUGAGACACGGCCCAAACUCCUACGGGAGGCAGCAGUGGGGAAUAUUGCACAAUGGGGGAAAACCUGAUGCAGCGACGCCGCGUGAGUGAAGAAGUACUUCGGUAUGUAAAGCUCUAUCAGCAGGGAAGAAAAUGACGGUACCUGAGUAAGAAGCCCCGGCUAACUACGUG